rnacentral:rRNA from 1 species
GAUGAACGCUGGCGGCGUGCCUAAUACAGGCAAGUCGAGCGAACGGACGAGAAGCUUGCUUUUGUGGUGUUAGGGGCGGACGGGGGAGGAACAGGUGGAUAACCGCCCUUGAAGGCGGGGGUAACGUCGGGAAACCGGUGCCGAGACCGGGGGAUAGUUUGAAGCGCAUGGCUCACACGUUAAAGACGGUCGUGCAGUCAGGAGUGGAGGGACCCGCGCUGCAUUAGCUAGUUGGUAAGGUAACGGCUUACCAAGGCAACGCUGCCUAGCCGACCUGAGAGGGUGAUCGGCCACACUGGAACUGAGACACGGUCCAGACUCCUACGGGAGGCAGCAGUAGGGACUCUUCCGCCAUGGGCGAAAGCCUGACGGAGCAACGCCGCGUGAGUGAUGAAGGUCUUCGGAUCGUAAAACUCUGUUAUUAGGGAAGCACAUAUGUGUAAGUAACUGUGCACACCUUGACGGUACCUCAUCAGAAAGCCACGGCUAACUACGUG